AGCGAACGCUGGCGGCGUGCUUAACACAUGCAAGUCGCGCGGGAAAGAGACUUUCGGGUCUUGAGUAGAGCGGCGGACGGGUGCGUAAGACGCGGGUGACCUAUCCGAGAGGCGGGGAUAACCCAGCGAAAGCGGGGCUAAUACCGGAUGAGCCCCCAGGCGGAAACGCGCGGGGGCAAAAGGAUGCUACUCGAUAGUGGCAUGUCCUCACGGAGGGGCCCACGGCCUAUCAGCUAGNGGUGUGGUAACGGCGCACCAAGGCGAAGACGGGUAGCUGGUCUGAGAGGAUGGCCAGCCACACGGGGACUGAGACACGGCCCAGACUCCUAC
rnacentral:rRNA from 1 species